AUGUAUUUUAUGUAUUAUAUAUUUUAUAUAUAAUUUUAUAUAUAUAUAAUUGUUUCUGUUUCUCUGGAGAGCCCUAAUACAAGAUCCCCACUUUUUUUUUUUGGUGUUUUUUCAUUGCAAGAUUUUGUUUCUAACUAUAUUUAUUCUUUAGAUGGAAGAAUGUUCAGUCUCUCUUCAAAUAGGGUCUUUUUAUCACUUCCCUAAUAGGUAAUCCUGGUUCAUUCCUUGCUUUCUCACCUCCUGAACAUCUUGCAGACAGCUUUUACUGGGUUGUUGUUCAUACAAGGGACCUAGACACUUUUCAUUAUAGUUUGGGACCCCUCCGUCUCCUGCUCUUUUCCAAAUCCUAGGCAUAUACCACAAGUCCAUAAGUUGCCUGGAGAAAAGCUGGGCGCCAAAGUCUGCUUACCUAAACCCAGAAGUGCCAAGUCCUUUGGAAGGGGUCUCUUUCUUUUCAGUUUUGUUUCUGCAAGAGGCAGCAGAAUUUCGAUGAAGUGUCUCCCUUCCAGCCUGUGACAGCUCCAGGUGGACCUAAACCACCUCAAUCUCGUCCUUUUGUAUUAUUAACCUUACUGCCUUUGCUUUUGUUCUUCUGGCCUCUCUUGUCCCCUUCUGAGAGUGACAAAACCUAAGAGCAUCUGCCUGCCACAUCCUCAAGUGGUGACAGGUGGAAGUGUUUCCAACCAAACCAAGCUCCCUGGUGAGGAAGCACACUUGUGGCCCUCUCCACAAGACAGAAAGAAGUCAGGGCUUUUCCCUUUGAGAUAAGUGUUACAUUCCCUUAUUCUAAAACAUUGGGAAAAAUAAUAAUAAUGAACUGCAAUGAACAAUUCUGCUGUUUCUUUUUUAAUUUAAAUUUUUAUUUUUAAUUGACAAAUAAUAAUUGUAUAUACUUAUGGGGCACAAUGUGAUAUAUUUUUUAUGUUGGUUUUUGUUUGUUUGAAACAGGGUCUCACUCUCCCACCCAGGCUGGAGUGCAGUGGCGUGAAGGCUCACUGCAGCCUUGACUUCCUGGGCUCAAGUUAUGCUCCUGGCUCAGCCUCCCAAGUAGCUGGGACCACAGUCUGCGAAUUGCCAGAAGCCCAGUCUGCGAAUUGCCAGAAGCCCAAAGUGAGUAUCAUGUAUGUCAGUACAAUUAAUCAUUAGAUAAUGAAGAGAACACAUGGCAGUGCCACCAUUUUGGCACCAUUAAUGCCAAAAGCAGCAUGGAUGCGGGAUGAUUGGAGGAGAACUGGAUAUGUGCCUCUGUUAGGGUGGAACACAGUUGGUGAUACAAGUUAUGCACAACGUCAUUUAAAAUGGCUUCAAAUAUUCUGAAAAAAACAACAUUUAGUUCUUACUGUGAAUUUUGUCACGUAUUGAAAACCACUGCACAUAAAAUUGGAUGAACAAUCCAUCUGCAUUUUAAUUUUACAAUGAGGUUAGCAUAGAAAAAUAAACUGAAUAUUGACAGUAAUAAACUGUAUUCCUAGAAAGGCUGUGUGGGCCUACUUAAAGGUUGUCUCACCAAUAAAACCAUAAGCAUCUUUUAGGGCAAAGGUGGUUUCCUAUACUUCCUUCAAUUCUCCAAUGCUUCUCCUCUUCUUAAUUUAUGAGGCAGGCAUAUAGGGAAUUCAAGAACUAUAGGGAGUUCAGUUGAAUUAAAAUAUCUGGUUCUGCCGGGAGGUGGAGGUUGCAGUGAACCGAGAUUGUGCCACUGCACUCCAUCCUGGGUGACAGAGUGAGACUCCAUCUCAACAACAACAACAACAACAACAAUCUCGUUCUGUUAUUUAAAGAAAACACUUCAACAGUUAGAAAUUUUGAUUGUUUGUGGCAGGCACUGUACUGAGAGUUUUACAUACACUAUUCCAGUUAAAACUCAAACCACUUGGGAGGACAGAAUUAUUAUCCCCGUUGUACAGGUGACCAGAGCUCUGAGAAUGAAAGGAACUUGGCUUGGCCACACAGCUAUGAGUGGAAGAGCCAGAAUUCAACUUAGGCCUGUCCCUGCCCAGGGUGUGCUUGAACCCCUGCAUUAGCCCAGGGGUCUUCCUGGGUGGACUCUGUUCUGCGCUCUCCUUUGUUCCUGUGGUCGGGCUCCCAGAUUCCAUCCAGGACCAGCUCCUUUACUUACAGAUGGGGGAGCCUUGGGCAAGACCACUGACCUCUCUGAGCCUCAGUUUCCCCCUCUGAAAAAUUGAAAUAAUCAACUGUCCCUAAUAAGGCUUAAGAAGGUUAAUAUCUUUUUUUCUUUUUUUUUUUUUUUUGAGACAGGGUCUCUGUCACCCAGGCUGGAUUGUAUUGGCACGAUCUCAGCUCACUGCAGCCUUAAUCUCCCAGGCUCAAGUGAUCCUCCCACCUCAGCUUCCUGAGUAGCUGGGACUACAGGCAUGUGCCACCAUGCCCAGCUAAUUUUUGUAUUUUUUUUUUUUUGUAGAGAUGGGUUUUUGCCAUGUUGCCCAGGCUGAAGAAAGUUAAUGUCUAAAUUUAUGCACAACUACUUAGAAAACAGUAAAUCCCUAUAUCAAUCUUUGUUGAUAAAAACAUUCCAUUUUUCUCAUCAUUGGAACCUUGUCACGCCUCAACAUUUGGGGCACCUUUACUAAAUGUGACAUCUUGAUUUUUAAAAGUGAUCUGUUUCUUUUUCAUUUAAUUUUCAACUAAAUAAUGUAUUCACUUGGUUCAAACAAACAAACAAAAAAAGGUAAACAGUGAAGGAUCUCCCUGUUAUUGGCCCUAAUAAGUAACCCAGUCAGUGGUUGCUUCUUUAUGUUUCCAGGUAACUAUAUGUAUAUACAAAUCCUAAAAGUAGUGUUUUUUUUCUUCCUUCAUACACAAAAGUUUGCAUACUACUACAUACAUAUUUCUACACCUAGCUUUC
rnacentral:lncRNA from 1 species